UAAAUCUCUAGUCUCUCACUUUCGUGUCUUGUCAAUCCCUGCGUAGCAUAGCUGGUUAGAUAGACCUGCAGCACGUGAACGACAUCCGCCUGUGAACAUGGUGCUUUAGGCUCAAUUCUGUACGUGUUGCCCUUCUAUGGUAUUGGAGGUUAAGGGCGGCAAAGGGUUAAGUCUUGCAUACUUUCAGGACAAACAUUUGUGGUUUGAUUCUCUUCGGUGUUAUCCUCUGGUCUGCGUUGUGGUUCGAUUUCCUUGGGUUGCAUCGUGGCGAAACCAUUGACCCUUCUUGAGCACGUAGGUCUUUAACCCAAACCCCUCCUAACCAUCAAAUGCUUUCUUAAGGCUUUCUACAGACUGAUGUGUAUCCUCUGUUGGUGAAAGGAGUGAUACUUUGCUAUCUUCUCUUCUCUCCCUUUAUGGUUUAUUUCAUUUUAUUCCUCUGAGUUGUAUCUUUAUACUGUCGAUGUAUCUCUAAUCUCUCUUUCUUCUUUCUGUUUUCGAUAGCAGCGAAACGUUUCUUUCGGUAGGUCCGUAGGAUUUUGUUUCUAGAGUUAUUGUUUAUUGUUUUAUUUAAAAUCAGUUGUUUAUUUUGAUUUUUCUGUGUUAUUUUGCGGGUUAUAUAUAUAUAUACAUAUAUAUGUGUGUGUGCGCCCUGUUGUACUCUGAUGCCCAUAUUUUCUAAAGUUACUAUAGCGGUGCUUGUAUCUCUGUACCUGUACCUCAAACAUACUCAUGACUUAGUUAGAUUUGGUUUCAGCCUAAUUUGUCGACAUCAUGCAACCCUUGUCCUUGCAUCUCCUCUGCUAGAGGUGCCACUACAGCCACUGUCGCUCAUGAGGGUCCAUUCCUCAAAGUGCUCCCAUAAAAAGCUUGAAACAUACCAAUACACAUAUAUCUGGUCAUUGGUCAAUUCUUGCUAAUAUAUACACACAGUCUACCAAGAUUUCUGAUAAGCCUGUUUGGUUUGCAUAAACAAAACGAGCAGAAAGAUUGAUACCUAAAGCAACUUGUUUUUAUGUACUUGUAUGUAUGCAUUGUGAGGAUAUAUAUUUUUGUUAGACAGUACAUCGGAGAUUCAAAAUGGAAAUAAGAGAAAGAUUAUGUCACCUAAAUAAGUUAUGACCCAAUGUAAAGGAACAGGAGGAUAUAUCUACUGCAAUUUUGUGUUUUAUUGUACAGUAGUCUUUAACUUGAGUAUAUGUUUCCACAGAAAAAAUAACACAGAAACAUAAAUUUGGACAAGGACAACAGUAGACCUAGAAGAAGAUGAUUGUGUGUAAGGAGAUCAAUGUAUUGGGCUAAGACCAAAUGUAUCCUCUAGCAAAUCUGGUUAAUUGGACACUCACAUAUUCAUAGUCAAUUUGGAAUUCAAAUUCAAAUGAAAAAAAAAUUAUGCCAUAGCUGAACCCCAGUAUUAACCUCGUGAUGCGGACCCUUUUGAUGGGAAGCUUGACGUUGCUUAUCUAGCGAUGAAGAGAUCACCGGUCUAUCAAUCUACAACGAUGAAAUUUUCCACCACUAGAGGUCGGUGGUCACUCUGCUCCCUCAGUUUCACGGAUGCCAACAAUGUCCACCGCCGGAGAAGUCGCCGUCGGGCCAUCGCCCUCUCCGUGAAGUUAGUGUUACUCUUUGAAGGAAAUUUCUCCAGAGGGAUCUCUGUGGAUGUUGUUGAAGAACCAGCAGAAUUCGUAUUUUGAACCCUUCUCCUCAUCCACUCCAUAUUCAUGCAUCUCCUUCCAUGAUUCGAUUGAAGGGAUCCCCGUAAGGCCAUCUAACUCUGAGAGCCUCUGUUUCUUCCUUUAGUUCCCUGUUCUACUGCACUAUUGAGGCGAAGUUGGAAAUUAGGAGCUUUGUCUUUGCUAUUCCUGGACUCUGAAAUGUGCUUUUUGACCUUUUGUUGUCCCUUCCCCGCAUGUGAGUUUUUCGUUUCGGAUUUUUUAUUUUUGAUGAACCAUUAAAGUUAUGUCUUUUUUUUUUUUUUUUACUUGUUUGCAGCUUUUUUUAGUUGGACUUCCGCUUCUUUUGUUAAGUUUUUAUCCAUGGUAGUAUGUUCAUAUGCAUCGAUUUCAUUUUAGAACUGUCUAUUUGAUGCUCUUUUCUUAGUCAUUUGUCAUCCACAAAGUUCUACUGCAGUUUGCUAGUUGAAAUUCUUUUGUAUCUAACGGUUUCAUGCAUUAUCUAAGUAUUUACUUAUUUCAGCUUUUUCUUUUUUUCUUUUUUUUGGGGCUGUUCAUCCUUGAGUCCCAGUCAGAGUUUCGUACGCGAACGAUGGCGUUAAGACGAGUGCAUCUCGAUCUAAGCCCAUUUUCAUUUAGAUUCACAUCAAUUGUUCGUUAAGCUCAUAACUUUGGUACCUGUCCAAGUUUGAGAGAGAAUCAUUCUAAGAAAGAUGGAGCGUACACAACUGAUAUUGCUAUCUUCUGUUGCAAUUAAAGUCUGUAAUUGUCUUCACGUGGCAGGAAGAAAUGGAGAACAAGUUUAGGACCAUAAAUUUUAUUACUCAGCAUAGGCACUGCCGCCUGCCUGGCCUGGAAAGUUUGUCGUUGAGCAGUGCCAUCAUGUUCACUUUCUUUAUUGCUUUUACACAGGAUGGAUUUGCUGCUCUGAUGCUUGACUAUCAUAGAAGAUAACAAUCUCUAUUUUUCAGGAACUUUAUUUGGUUUGGUAGCAUUCACCCAUCCAUGAAUCACUUAACCAGCACAUUGUUCUUCAUUUUAGUUCUCAAUUCACUCUCUGCUCUUCAGUUUUAAUAUUGAAUGAUUGAACACAUUCUCCUUUACACCUUAAGUUGGAAUUGCAUAUGCUCUCCAUUGUAUUGUAGCAAACCGUUUUUGUGGUUCUAAUUAUGCUUUCAUAGUGACCAAUAUUAUUGCAAGUGAUUUUCAUCCUUAUUGUUUUCUCUACAAUACCUUAGGGCAUAACUUUUUCAUGUACUUCUAGAUUAUCUUACAGAUAACUGCCAAAAAUAAGUAGCCAGCAAUGGUAGCUACAUAGGAAGUUCAGUCCAUUCUACCUGGUUCAACAAUCCUUUCAGUUGCUCUAUCAACGACGAAGAUCAGGAAGCAGAAAAGGCCUUGCUUCGGUUCAGAGAAUUUCAUAAAAUGGCAAAGGUUAUUGGCGUUUGAAAAGUGCUUUUAACAUGCGUGGAGAAGGAGGUUGCCAUGGCAGCCCUUCUUUUUAUCUUUUUCCGGCAGUUCCUUCUUCCAUCGGGUAUUCUCCAGAUGAAGCGGAAAAAGGCUGCCGUUACGGCCCCAUUUUAUCGCAGCCCAUCUUCCUGUCGACCGGAGAUGCUGGUGAGGAAAAUGAAGAUGCAACAUGGCAGCCCCUUGUUCAUCAGCCGCAAGGAAAGGGGCCAGCCCGACGAAACCAGGUCUAGUCUGUCAGACAUCUUAUACUGCAAAACAAAAGAAAGAGUGGGAUAUAUAUAUACAUAUGAGAGAGUGGUAACUACCAAAUUAUUGUAUUAUUUGAAGCCGAAUGAGAAUGGUUUUGGUUGUCGAUUG